rnacentral:lncRNA from 1 species
UGCUCCUUACCUAUGAACUUCCUGAGCGGAUUCCGGUCCGACGAUUUAAAACGCGGUCAGGACUCUACAUCAUCAUCAUCAUCAUCAUCAUCAUCAUAGUACACCACCUAUCUGUCGUUAUUUUGCCUCAGGCAGCAGCGGGAAGGAUGGAUGCUAAAAAAUAAAAAAAAACAGAUUUACGCUAUGAUGUACAUGAUAUAUACGUAUACGUGUUGGCGUUUCACCCUCCACAACCCACUUGGUGACUCGGUGACGACAGAAUGGCCAUUCCACAGACAAGUCGGCGACACGACGGCUCACAGAGCUCAUUAAAACAGCACACGAGCUUAUCGCGCCGCUUGCUAGAAGCGCAACUUGCGUGGGAAUUGUGACCUGGUGCUUCUGUGCGUAAGAAAAAAACGUUGGUAAAAAAAGUUCCCAGCAGGGCUUGAUGACCGGCAUAAAUCCGAAACCCUGAAGUUAUCGCUCCUGUUGAAGGCAACCGCUGCCGCUACUUGCGGUUGCCGCAUCCUGCUGCAUCCCGCAUGCUGCAGGCUUCGGUCUCCUUGGACUGAUUCUAUCCCCAGCGCGGGCUCCCCAGAUAACUGUGA